UUGUAUUGAUGAUAAAUAUGAUGGUAAUAAUAUUUUAAAAGUUAUUGAGAUGAAGGAAAAUAUACAAAAAUUAGGAUUAUAUCAAAAGCAUACCUGGUUUCCUGUAAUUUAAUUUAAAUUUUCUGAUUCCUUAACAAAAGGGAAAUUUACACCCAUUACUGCCUUUAUCAUUUUUUUUUUCAUUUGUACUGUUGUACGGUUAUUUUAACUUUUAUACAGUUUUUUAUUUUUUAAAUAUUUUUGGCAGUAUACUGCCUUUGGUAAGUUUUAUUAAUAAUGGUUUUAUGGCUAAAACAAACAUAUGUGUAUGUACCUUUUUUACACACACAUUCAAAGAUAACUUAUUUAUCUACCACAUGUCUUUGUUUUGAGGCACCCAACUCAUCCCAUUCAUUCCCACUUUGCCCACUGUUUAUUGAAACCAAACCUACACUGUUUGUGUGAAAGUGACUAAUUCUUUAUUUUUUUUUUUAUUUUAAUGAUUUAAAAAUUAUUUAAUGAUUAUUAUAUUAUCUUUUGAUUAAAUGGUUGAUGGGAUGGUUGAUGGGAUGUGGGCUGGUGACAUGUUUUUUAUACUUUUUUUUAUUUAAAUAAAUUUAAAAAUCUCACACCACUUGUCCCACUAUUUAUCAAACGCAUUUCCUUCUAUAAUAUUUGCAGAACAAGAACAACAUGAAGUACUUGUUCUUUUUAGAAGAUGGGUGGACUCAUCUUAUGAACAUGAAGAUAAGGUAUCAUGUAAUAGGAAAGAGUAAAUACCAAGUGAAGAUUGUUCAAUCAACUGAUCUGUUCGAAGACAUAAUUAGGAAAAGGGUUGUCAAUAUUUUAUGGUUUUUUCCUGGUGUUUUUAUGAUUCUAGUGUUGAUUUGUCCGUCCCCAACCACGAAGGAGGUGCCGUUUGUGCUUUAUUAAUGUUAACAGUAUAAAAGUAAAUAUUUUAGGUCUGGACAGUAUGAAAAAAAAAAGGGGGCUUGAACAGUAAAAAAGAAAUUAUUGCCGUGUGGCAGUAUUAUUGUAAAACUUGGAGAAAAAAACAGUAUUUUUGUAAGUUUCCCUAACAAAACCAUAUAAAAAGGUAAAUUUCACA